UGACGGGGCCCGCACAAGCGGUGGAGCAUGUGGUUCAAUUUGACGCAACGGAAGAACCUUACCCGGCUCGAGCGGCAAUGGNCAUCCGGCGNNNCCNUCCCGCAAGGGUCGUUGUCGAGGUGCGCAUGGCUGUCGUCAGCUCGUGUCGUGAGAUGUUGGGUUAAGUCCCGCAACGAGCGCAACCUUGUCCGCUGUUGCCAUCAGGUUAUGCUGGGCACUCUGCGGAGACUGCCGGUGAUAACCGGAGGAAGGUGGGGAUGACGUCAAGUCAGCAUGGCCUUUAUGUCUGGGGCUACACACUGCUAUAAUGGUAGGGACAAACCGUCGCGAUGCCGCGAGGUGGAGCUAAUCGGABAAACCUGUCUCAGUUCGGAUUGCAGGCUGCAACUCGCCUGCAUGAAGUUGGAAUCGCUAGUAACGCGGAUCAGCACGCCGCGGUGAAUACGUUCCCGGGCCUUGUACACACCGCCCGUCACACACGAAAGCCGGCUGUACUAGAAGUCGCCGCGUCAACCCGCAAGGSASAUAAGCGCCUAGGUAUGGUCGGUGAUUGGGGUG
rnacentral:rRNA from 1 species